UGUACGUGUAUCUGCAACCAGGGAUGGACCGGACCUCUAUGUGACCAGCAGACUUGUACCAAAAAUUGCGGUGUGAACGGAUAUCUCAAUUCUCAAACUUGUACGUGUAUCUGCAACCAGGGUUGGACUGGGACUUUGUGUGACCAGCAGGUCGGGGGUGGUUGUACCAAAAACUGCGGUGCGAACGGAUACCUUAAUUCUCAAACUUGCACGUGUGUUUGCAACCAGGGAUGGACUGGGACUUUGUGUGACCAACGGGUGUGUAACAAGCAGUGCGUGUAUGGCACCUUGGAUAGCCAGUCUUGUACCUGCAACUGCUUCCCGAGGUGGGGAGGAG